rnacentral:ncRNA from 19 species
ACUAAAUAUUUCGAGAUAGGUGCCCUUAGGGGCUUAAUAGGGAAGUCCGGUUAGAAGCCGGCGCGGUCCCGCCACUGUAACGGGGAGUAAGCUUAAGUUAUACCACUGGGAUGUAUUUCCUGGGAAGGUUUAAGCAAGCCAUGAUCCGGAGUCAGGAGAACUGCCUGUCUGACAAUCACCGUU